rnacentral:lncRNA from 1 species
CCCUUGUGAAUCCCCACACGCUAUGGCCAUCACCCCCACCCUCAACCCCCUCAAGGAAAGAAGGAAAAAAAAAAGAAAAAAAGGUGGGGACUAAAGUGAUUAAUUCACUCCACAUUGCAAAAUCUCAAAUUAACAUAUAAAAUUACAUCUAUAAACCAAAUGCUUUAAAGAAGGUUAGCUUGUGGGCAGGCGUUGAUGUGUUGGUGACGGGA